rnacentral:rRNA from 1 species
GACGAACGCUGGCGGCGUGCUUAACACAUGCAAGUCGUGCGGUAAGGCCCUUUCGGGGGUACACGAGCGGCGAACGGGUGAGUAACACGUGAGCAACCUGCCCUUCACUUUGGGAUAACUGCCGGAAACGGUGGCUAAUACCGGAUAUGACCUCCUCACGCAUGUGGGGUGGUGGAAAGCCUUCGGGUGGUGGGGGAUGGGCUCGCGGUCUAUCAGCUUGUUGGUGGGGUGAUGGCCUACCAAGGCUUCGACGGGUAGCCGGCCUGAGAGGGUGACCGGCCACACUGGGACUGAGACACGGCCCAGACUCCUACGGGAGGCAGCAGUGGGGAAUAUUGGACAAUGGGCGAAAGCCUGAUCCAGCAACGCCGCGUGAGGGAUGACGGCCUUCGGGUUGUAAACCUCUUUCGCCUGCGACGAAGCGAGAGUGACGGUAGCAGGUAAAGAAGCACCGGCCAACUACGUG